rnacentral:misc_RNA from 1 species
AAAAAAAAGGCGGAUAUUAUACUUAUUUACAAAGAAAAAUUACUCCAGGUGAAUCCCAUUUCUACAGAAGCCCGACUCUAAUCGACAAACCAGCUUAUCACCCAAAUCACGUACCCUCCUCUGGGGGAUAGUGUGAAGAUCCAACCAGGUUUUAAUCAGAUAUCACUGAAGUGAUGGCUUUUUUUCUUUUUAUAUUGUUAAUGGAAGAAAGUUCAAUAUAGCCAUAGACGGGGAAAAAUAAACAAAUACCACAUAGAGCAAAAGCGCGAGAUUAUCAGCACAAAACCCUAAAACCCUAAAAAAACCCCUAAUAAAGCCCCAAUUAGCACUUCUG